rnacentral:rRNA from 1 species
UACGAAGGGGGCUAGCGUUGUUCGGAAUUACUGGGCGUAAAGCGCACGUAGGCGGAUAUUUAAGUCAGGGGUGAAAUCCCGGGGCUCAACCCCGGAACUGCCUUUGAUACUGGAUAUCUUGAGUUCGGAAGAGGUAAGUGGAAUUGCGAGUGUAGAGGUGAAAUUCGUAGAUAUUCGCAGGAACACCAGUGGCGAAGGCGGCUUACUGGUCCGAUACUGACGCUGAGGUGCGAAAGCGUGGGGAGCAAAC